rnacentral:rRNA from 1 species
CGCGUAGGCGGUGAUGUAAGUGAGAUGUGCAAUCCCCGAGCUUAACUUGGGAACUGCAUCUCAGACUGUGUCGCUGGAGUGCUGGAGAGGGUGGUGGAAUUCCACGUGUAGCGGUGAAAUGCGUAGAGAUGUGGAGGAACACCAGUGGCGAAGGCGGCCACCUGGACAGUAACUGACGCUGAGGCGCGAAAGUGUGGGGAGCAAACAGGAUUAGAUACCCUGGUAGUCCACGCUGUAAACGAUGAACACUUGGUGUGGUGGGAGUUGACCCCGCCGUGCCGUAGCUAACGCGAUAAGUGUUCCGCCUGGGGAGUACGGUCGCAAGGCUGAA